UACGUAGGGCGCAAGCGUUAUCCGGAAUUAUUGGCGUAAAGAGCUCGUAGGCGGUUUGUCGCGUCUGCCGUGAAAGUCCGGGGCUCAACUCCGGAUCUGGCGGUGGGUACGGGCAGACUAGAAUUCGGUAGGGGAGACUGGAAUUCCUGGUGUAGCGGUGAAAUGCGCAGAUAUCAGGAGGAACACCGAUGGCGAAGGCAGGUCUCUGGGCUGUAACUGACGCUGAGGAGCGAAAGCAUGGGAGCGAACAGG
rnacentral:rRNA from 1 species